rnacentral:rRNA from 2 species
GGUUAAUAUUCCCGUACUUGGUGUUACUGCGAAGGGGGGACGGAGAAGGCUAUGUUGGCCGGGCGACGGUUGUCCCGGUUUAAGCGUGUAGGUGUGUGUUCCAGGUAAAUCCGGUUCACUUUAACACUGAGGCGUGAUGACGAGGCACUACGGUGCUGAAGCAACAAAUGCCCUGCUUCCAGGAAAAGCCUCUAAGCAUCAGGUAACAUCAAAUCGUACCCCAAACCGACACAGGUGGUCAGGUAGAGAAUACCAAGGCGCUUGAGAGAACUCGGGUGAAGGAACUAGGCAAAAUGGUGCCGUAACUUCGGGAGAAGGCACGCUGACAC